UGAAACCAGGAUUAGAUACCCUACUAUACUAAGAUAAUAGGAAAAACUAGAAUAUUAAAAGAUAUAGUCUUUAAAUUCAAAGAAUUUGGCGGUAAUUUAGUCUUUCCAGAGGAACCUGUUUUUUAAUCGAUAAACCACGAAUAAUCUUACUUAUCUUUGUAAAUUUAAUAAGUUUGUAUACCGUCAUUAUCAGAUGAUAUUUAGAGAUGAUAUUAUUGGAUUUUAAAUAGUAAAAAAAAUUAGAUCAAGGUGCAGCUAAUAGAUAAGUUAAAAUGGGUUACAAUUAACUGGAUUUAAUAAUGAAUAAAGAUUUGAAAAAUCUUUGGAAGGAGGAUUUGGUUGUAAUUAAAAUUAGUAUGAUAAAAAGAUAUGAGCUCUAAAUUAUGUACAUAUC
rnacentral:rRNA from 1 species